rnacentral:rRNA from 1 species
AUCUGGCUCUUUCACGAGGGUCCGAGUUGUAAUUUUGAGAACUGUUAUCAGUGCUGGACCAUUUCUAAGUCUGUUGAAAAAUAGCAUCAUAGAGGGUGAUAAUCCCGUUUGUGAUAUGGACUACCAGGGCUUUACGAUACAGUUUCUAAGAGUCGAGUUGUUUGGGAAUGCAGYUCAAAGUGGGUGGUAAAUUCCAUCUAAGGCUAAAUACAGGUGAGAGACCGAUAGCAUACAAGUACCGUGAGGGAAAGAUGAAAAGAACUUUGGAAAGAGAGUUAACAGUACGUGAAAUUGUUGUAAGGGAAACGUUUAAACUUAUCGUUGUGUUUGUUAGUUCAGCCCUUUGACUAGGGUGUAUUCUGGCAAAAUCACGGACCAACAUCAGUUUUUGAGUGCUGGAUAAGGGCUCCGGGAAUGUASCAGUUUKGGCUGUGUUAUAGCCCGGAGUUUGGAUACAGUGCUUGGGACUGAGAUAGAUUCGCAGCAAGC